ACCUCGAAUUUAAUGUGAUACUUGAUGUUUGUAUGUAAUUUUGUAUAAUCGUUUAUACAAGUAAAGUUUGUAUGACAAUAACAAGUAAUAUUAACUACACUAAUGCAUUGCCUGCCUUAACUUCUUGAGAGGAAGUAAACUUUACUUGGGUAAUGCAAGCAAAUCUGGCAACACUCUCCAAACUCGGUGGGUGAUGUCACAGGGAGUUUGCGCUCCAAACAAAGCAGGACUUUUUGAAUGGCGGCUGAGUUUGAGAGGGGCAUACAGAUGACUGUUUGGAUUUUUUUAAAUAGGAAAAUUGUGACUGUGGCUGCGAAGAAAUCCUUCUCUUAUCGAAGACUAGAAGUGGUCAAGCAUUGCCCUGCUGUCCAAGACUUCAUUGAGAGAUGGCCUGCUCUGUUCUGUGAAGCUCAGAUCAAAGAAGAGUUCAGAAGGAUAACAACAAUACAUAUGGGGUGGACCUUUUUCUCA